rnacentral:pre_miRNA from 9 species
UUUCGAUAGCGUAAAAGUUAAGUCAAAUUUGUAUGGAUUAGGAACCUUUGCUUAUGUUUGCCGCUAGGGGCACCGUUCCAACUGCAUACAAAUUUGAGUUAACUUUUACGCUAUCGA